GAUGAACGCUAGCUACAGGCUUAACACAUGCAAGUCGCGGGGCAGCAUGGGGGUUGCUUGCAAUCCCCGAUGGCGACCGGCGCACGGGUGAGUAACGCGUAUCCAACCUGCCCUUCACCACGGGAUAACCCGGCGAAAGUCGGACUAAUACCGUAUGUUGUCCAUUAACGGCAUCCGAUUUGGACGAAAGGUUUGGCGGUGAAGGAUGGGGAUGCGUCCGAUUAGCUGGACGGCGGGGUGACGGCCCACCGUGGCGACGAUCGGUAGGGGUUCUGAGAGGAAGGUCCCCCACACUGGAACUGAGACACGGUCCAGACUCCUACGGGAGGCAGCAGUGAGGAAUAUUGGUCAAUGGGCGUAAGCCUGAACCAGCCAAGUAGCGUGCAGGAUGACGGCCCUAUGGGUUGUAAACUGCUUUUAUGCGGGGAUAAAGUGGCCCACGUGUGGGUUUUUGCAGGUACCGCAUGAAUAAGGACCGGCUAAUUCCGUG
rnacentral:rRNA from 1 species